rnacentral:rRNA from 1 species
GACGAACGCUGGCGGCGUGCUUAACACAUGCAAGUCGAACGGUAAGGCCCUUCGGGGUACACGAGUGGCGAACGGGUGAGUAACACGUGGGUGAUCUGCCCUGCACUUCGGGAUAAGCCUGGGAAACUGGGUCUAAUACCGGAUAGGACCCUGGGAUGCAUGUCCUGGGGUGGAAAGCUUUUGCGGUGUGGGAUGGGCCCGCGGCCUAUCAGCUUGUUGGUGGGGUGAUGGUCUACCAAGGCGACGACGGGUAGCCGGCCUGAGAGGGUGACCGGCCACACUGGGACUGAGAUACGGCCCAGACUCCUACGGGAGGCAGCAGUGGGGAAUAUUGCACAAUGGGCGCAAGCCUGAUGCAGCGACGCCGCGUGAGGGAUGACGGCCUUCGGGUUGUAAACCUCUUUCAGCACCGACGAAGCGCAAGUGACGGUAGGUGCAGAAGAAGGACCGGCCAACUACGUGCCAGCCGCCGCAUAA